AGCAGCCGCGGUAAUUCCAGCUCCAAUAGCGUAUAUUAAAGUUGUUGCAGUUAAAAAGCUCGUAGUUGAAUUUCGGGAUUAGUACGUUGGUCGUGCCUUAGGUACGUACUGGUGUUACUGGUUCCUACCUUCUGACGAACCAUCAUGUCAUUAAUUUGGUGUGGCGGGGAAUCAGGACUGUUACUUUGAAAAAAUUAGAGUGUUUAAAGCAGGCUCGCGCUUGAAUACAUUAGCAUGGAAUAAUGAAAUAGGACGUUGACCCUAUUUUGUUGGUUUCUAGGAUUGACGUAAUGAUUAAUAGGGAUAGUUGGGGGCAUUAGUAUUCAAUUGUCAGAGGUGAAAUUCUUGGAUUUAUUGAAGACUAACUACUGCGAAAGCAUUUGCCAAGGAUGUUUUCAUUAAUCAAGAACGAAAGUUAGGGGAUCGAAGACGAUCAGAUACCGUCGUAGUCUUAACCAUAAACUAUGCCGACUAGGGAUCGGAUGAUGUUAUUUUUAAUGACUCA
rnacentral:rRNA from 3 species